AAAUAAUAAUUGCGAAUAAUAUACCGAAGUAAAAAAAUAGUUCGUUAUUGCUUAUAAUUUUAUUAUUACUAUAUUACGUGUCGUUAAAUUCUUUCAUAGAGAACAGAAUGAUUUGAUGAACAUGUAAAAAUGUAUGUUUAGAAAUUUCCAUUGCUAUUCCAUUCAUAUUACAAAUUACCGUGUAUUACAAAUCCGAGUAAUUAAUUCGCAGAAUUUAUUAUCGGCAUUAAUCAAAAUCUACCGUUAUUACUUGGAAGUUGCGUGUCUGAGAGUGGCGAGUGGCAAGGAUACGUUUAAAAAGAUACGGCCGUCUUGUUUACGACUCCUACGAGCAUUUUGUGUUUCGAGUAACACGCGAUAACGACGGCCGAGAAUAAAACGAAACGUUGCUCAAAUGGGGAGGAAGAGGAAAGGACUUUCUCCGAGUGAGAAGAUCCUUAUUCGCUUUCCCUGAUGUAUCUGUCCAUGUUCCUGCUACCAAAGCUUCGCUUGUAAGGACAACAAUGUUGAGAUACAUGAUCAUUAUUAUUACAUCUUUCUCUGACAAACAAGAAUAUCUAAAAACGAAAAGAAUAUUUUCAAAUUUUUAUUUGAAAAAAAUUACAAAAAAUCAUAAGAAAUAUCUGAAAACAUUGUGUACACACGAGUACUUAAGUAUUUCGCAUCGUUAAGAUCGAUAUCAUCGGAUCGAUAUCCUGCAACGCCUACCUGAUGCUCCAUUAUGCACAUCAAUGUUAAGGUCGUCUCAUCCCCAGUUGCCGCGUAACGAAACGUAAUGGAAAUUGGUGAUCAUCAACCUGCAAUGUGGGUCAAGUUGAUGUCCGGUUUCGUGAAACUGGAAUACGAGCAUCGUGUCAAAACUAAACGUGCUGUAUCGAAAAGUAGAAUCAUGCAUCGGACACACGAAACACCUCUCUUUCCCUUUCAAAAUAUAAAGGAAACGAACACUCGUGGAACACUCUCUAGCCCGACAGCAAUGAGAAAACGAAUAUUUUUUCGUUGUGUUUGGUGGCGUCUCUUUCAACGCCAGAACAAAUCAACACGUCAGGUUACAUAACAACUAUUCACCAUAUCCUGAAAAAUAUGCUCGAUAGAUAUAUACACGCAUAUGGAAGACUUUCACGGAUGCUUUACCCCGGUGAACGGACAGGUUUGUAUAACCGAUUUGAAAGAGGAGAUUACCAUUUAUCCCUUAUUAGCGAUAUCGAUAAUAAGAUCGAGUGUAUUUCAUAUUUGAAUUUACCGCCAUUUUUAAAUGACUUCACGAGCCAUGAAGGUUGAACUGGUUGAACAGGUUGUUCUUUGAGAUGAAAUGGAACGAAAAUCAAGAACGAUGAAAUUAUAUUUUAUAUUAGUUUUGAUUUUCGUUAGUUGGAAAUUGACGAAAGUCUAGCUCUGCGCACGAGCAAGCCGCCAUAUUGGAUUUAAUCUAACCUCUACAAUAUGGAUCCCCGUCUUGUGACUUUCGAGAAGAUUGCAAAGAAACGCAUUCUUGGAACAGUAUUUAAAAACGAUUAAUUUAUUUUUCUUUGUAAUGCAUUUUUCUUACGAGCCGAUUUUGCUCGUCGUCAAAGAUAAAGGAAUAAAAGCAUUCGGACCGGUCAGACCGAUACGGAGGUAGAUAUCGAUGACGAUCGAAGGCACUUUCCAUGAAAUUCCUCGAGCCGCCUCCCGCCAGGUUCUUUCGUCAUCGUACGAAAGAAAUCGAAAACUAUCCGCGUCGAUGCAUUCUUCCAGGUAUCCAGAUUCCGGUUCUUGGCUGUCCUUAACAUUGAACGAGCUGGUCGUGUCCGACCUUACGUCGAGGAGAGGAUGUUUUGCAACUUCGAGAUUUCACUUUGAUACCCUGCAUUCUUGCCGGCCACUGGAAUCGUCGUGUCCAUCGCUUUGAUCGGAGGGAACAUCCUUCGCAGAAAUUGAUUGACAAUUGGAAAAUGACUUUCGUCGAUAAUGUAAUUAAAGAGAGAGACAUGGAGAGAUUGAUUAUGGAUAGAAGAUGAGAAGAAAAAAAAAAAAUGCGAAACUGAGACUUGAAUACUGGAUUUUGCUCGCACGAAAGAUAUCGUGUUUAUUUAAUUUAUUUUAUUUUGCCAACGAAUGAAGAAUUAUUCUCAAGCGAAAUAGAAGUCGAAAGUGUGAAGCCGAUUAAGAAGUAAGAUUCAUUCCCUUGACCAAUCCAUUUCGAAAUUUUGAACGAUUGAAAUGAUCUCCUCCACCUUAAUUCGUUCAUUUUCUCGCACCGUGACCCGCGUUCCAAUUCCACAAGCAGAAAAUGAAAGGGAAAGAGGAACGUCGCCUAAUUAAAAUCACGGCAACGUGCACGCCUUCGUUUCCGUAUCGUGGAAACACGAAUUUAAGGAGGCGUAGAUUCAUGAACGAUGACGCGGUUGGAAUAGAAAGCGGGCUGGGAGACGAGCCAGCGAUACAUCAACGUGCAACGUGAUGUUAGGAAGGGACGUGUUUAUCAAAAAAAUCGGUGCCAUAUCGAGCGGGAAGAGUCUGUUCCCGAUCGAAAACGGUGUAUAUUCCGUUUCUACGAUUCGGAUUCGCUUUUACAAAAUUGACUUUCUCUGGGGCACGGGUGUGUCCCCUCCCAAACGUACCGACGUGAUCGAGAUCGUUAUUGACGAUCCAGAUCCACGGAUCUGGGAUUGAAUUGGUAGUUAUGUCACUGUUGUUUGAGAAAAAGUUAAUCACAUGUGUGAUAUAGGUACAACAUUAUUUGUUUAUUCACAAGA
rnacentral:lncRNA from 1 species